UCAUCAUUUUACUCAACAUGAACAUUAUCUAGAAAUCUAAUAACUUUCAAAAUAUCAACUUAAUUUCAUCAAAAUCUUGUUCCAAAACUUUUAAAACAUCAAAAUUAUGUAAAAAGGGCUAAAUUGACUUACUAAUUAAACUUCCAAACUUUGAAAUCUCAAUUUUUCCUUUUCUCCCUUUCUUUCUUUUCUUUCCUUCCCCUACUCUCUGUUUC
rnacentral:lncRNA from 1 species